AAAUUAAAGGGGCAUGGAAAAGAAAAACAAGAAAACUAACACUGAAGCAAUCAUACUUCUCAUGUCUCUGGAUAGAGAAGUAUAGUAUGGGUUACCUUUAGGCAAAGCAAAUUAAAAGUAUGCAAGUUAACUAAUUCAUGGUUAAAUAGACUUGUUCACUUAAGGCUUUAACCACUUUCCAAAUCAACAACUAUCUUAAUCCAGCUAUGCUUUCUCAUAAAUGAGAGCCAUGCUCACUCCAGACUCAUACCCCACUGAGCCUCUGCAUUUGGUACACGGCAGUGAAAAAAUAUGCUUUCCCAAUAGCACUGAAGACAUUGUUAACAAUGAGAAAUCCAACUAAAGAGCAAUGCUCUCUCACCCCAAAAAUGUUAUUCACACUUCCCUUCCUUCACAUUAUAAGCAAGAAACCACUGAAUUCAAUCCUCUGCAAAUAAGCACCAUCGUCACAAUUUUCAACUUUGAAGAAACUCCCUCUAAUUUUUCACUAAAGAAAAAAUGAAUGAAGAUAUCCUCCUCUCUUAAGACUAUCUCCGAUCCCAUCACCUUUUACUGCAAGGGUAGAAAACUGGCUAAGAUCAUGAAAAUCCAAUGUCACACAUGGCAUUAAUAAAACGGAAAGUUAUAAAAAUAAUCCUCAUCACACUCCCGGGGAUGAGGUGGCUUCUGUACCGACUGUUUUCCGACAGUAAGUGAUGCUGGCUCAAAAGCAACAGCUCUACACAAAGUUUUUGGGUUAGAGUUUCCCCAGCUUAAUUCUGGAAUAGAGAAAGCCAAUUUCAUACAAAAAAAAAUCUGGAGAAGCUACAAAUGUUAACCUUUAAACAC